rnacentral:tRNA from 1 species
AAUCUAAUAGUUCACAAACAUUAAAUUGCAAAUUUAAAAUAAGUAAAUUAAGAAAUC